GCUGUUCGCCAUUUAAAGUGGUACGUGAGCUGGGUUUAAAACGUCGUGAGACAGUUUGGUCCCUAUCUGCCGUGGGCGUUGGAAAUUUGAAGGGGGCUGCUCCUAGUACGAGAGGACCGGAGUGGACGAACCUCUGGUGUACCGGUUGUCACGCCAGUGGCAUUGCCGGGUAGCUAAGUUCGGAAGAGAUAACCGCUGAAAGCAUCUAAGCGGGAAACUUGCCUUAAGAUGAGAUUUCCCAGAGCCUUGAGCUCUUUGAAGGGUCGUUCGAGACCAGGACGUUGAUAGGUCAGGUGUGGAAGUGCAGUAAUGCAUUAAGCUAACUGAUACUAAUUGCCCGUACGGCUUGUCCCUAUAACCUUGACGGUUAUG
rnacentral:rRNA from 1 species